GCCGGAGUGGCGGAAUGGCAGACGCGACGGUCUCAAAAACCGUUGGAGGGCAACUUCCGUGUCGGUUCGAGUCCGACCUUCGGCACCA
rnacentral:tRNA from 1 species